rnacentral:lncRNA from 1 species
CUGCGACGAGAAGAGCAGGAUAUUCCUCCCGGGUUUCACUAGAAGCAAAGCGUCCUGAGGCCUGGUGCCUUCAGUGCCUUCACAAAGACCCCCUUCUCUGCUUUAAGUGAAAGCUAGAGGAAUGAAGGGCACUUGGCCUGGGAGACCACCCAAGAACAGUGCUUCGUUCAUCACCCGGAGACAGUGGCCUGUUCAAAAGAGGAUUUCUCAACGUUGACUCACCAGAACCUUCACACUCUGCAGGAUUGAUAUUCCUCUUUGAGAUGCAAGCAGAUGCCUCCACCAACUAUCUCGAACCGGAAUGCCGCAGCCUCCCCUUCGUCCGCAUUUAUCCUUGGCAGGAGCACUGUCUAUUUUGGGAAGGACGAAUCCCUGAGGACACCUGCAAAGGACUGGAAGCUCUUAGCAACUCCUUGACCUGAGAGUGAGGAACCGAGUGGCGGGGAGCCCCAGGACCUGCCCAUCAUCACGUCUCUGCAGUGGCCUUGCCACAACCUGCCCGGCGGGUUCUCCUGGAUUGGGGGAAGGUCUGGACCCGUGUCCCUCGGGGGUUCUCCUAGGUCUCUUAUGGAGGAGGUGGCAGGGCAGGGAAUUGCUCAGUGACUUUCGACUCCAUUUCCAAGGCACAUGCAUUGUUAAGUGCUAAGACUUCUGUAAGAUAGUUGGAGUGGAAAAUGGAACCCUUAAUCCUAGACCCUAAAGUUCAACUCUUUCAUGAUCGCUACAAUGGGUGCUAAAGAGAAGAGAACAGAGGAAACAGUCUGGGCAAAUGUAUCCUGUUUGUUGUUAUGGGGCUUUGGUCUCAAAUCUCUGUGGUUGAGCUGAGCUAGUUUGGAGCAUGUGUCAGCUGUGAGCAUGCCCUUUGCCUGUCUAAAUUCAGGUGGAAGACGAAAAGCCUAAUGAUAAGUUCAAGGUCAAAUAAGUCUAAAUAUGAAUAAGAAGCAAUAAAGCAUAGUCCUAAAGUCAGAUGUGAAAGCGAGAGAAUGUGAUGCUUAUGGAUGAGAAAAGUGAGACAGGCCUUAUGGAAUCUCCAGCUUUCAUGCUGGACUUUGUUUGGUAUAGAACCUUCUCAGCAUGGUGCUAGGAUGCUCCCUUCUCAGGAAAUAGCUCAGAUGGGAGAAACCUUGAGCUUCUCCCAGUAGCUGAAAGGUGCCUCAAACAUUCAUUACAGCUUCUUAGACAGAGUUCGCUGAGGAAAGUUGUGUUCCCUGGGGCUGAAAAUUCUAGUAGACUGUAGGUGCUUUCAAACUUUGUGGUUUUUAUUUAUUUUUAUUUUAAAAAUUUUUUUGAAAGAUACUUCUUUUAGGCAUAGAAACUUAUACAGAACUCUAAUAUGUAACUGGUUAAAAUGUAUUCUAUUUGUAUAAAUUUAUUUUAGGAACUCAAAUGCAGUGAAGCUUUGCUACAUGCACUCUUUACUGGAUAACAGUGAGGAGAGUGGGCGGGGAGAUAUCCACUCAGUGAAAAGGAGAUUGCAAACCAAAUUUCCAAAAGAAAUAAAGAGAUCAAAAAUUCAGUAAUAUGGUUCUGAAAAACCAAACUGAACAUGAGUUUACGCCAUGAAGUAGCCUUUAUUCUUUAACAUGGAGUGCUCAACAAGAUAAAUGGGAGAAGGAUUUUCAUUAAAAAGAACAGGAAAUUAUGAAACAAAGGCUGGUAAAAAUGAAAAAAAGUUUAAGGAAAAAAAAAAAACAGUUGGGAAAAAUGGAGAAUCAAUGACAAUACUCCAAAAUAUCUUUCAUAGAAAUUCAGUAAAAAUGAAACAGAAGUAAGGGUGGAGAAUCAAUAUUUUGAAAGAUGAUGAUUUAAAAAAUGUACCAGAAUUGAAGAUCAGUUUUUGAGUACUCUGAGUACCAAUUCCAGAAUGAAAAAUAAGUCAAAUAAAAAUAAAUUCAUAAGUAGAUGAAUGACAG